GGGCGGUUAGCUCAGCGGUAGAGCACUACGUUGACAUCGUAGGGGUCACAAGUUCGAUCCUUGUACCGCCCA
rfam:Magnetospirillum moscoviense strain BB-1 NODE_91_length_10436_cov_109.095_ID_8081, whole genome shotgun sequence.